rnacentral:rRNA from 1 species
GACGAAGGACCCGAGCGUUAUCCGGAUUCAUUGGGUUUAAAGGGUGCGUAGGUGGAUUGAUAAGUCAGUGGUGAAAUCUCCAGGCUUAACCUGGAAACUGCCAUUGAUACUGUCGAUCUUGAAUAUGUUUGAUGUGGGCGGAAUAUGACAUGUAGCGGUGAAAUGCUUAGAUAUGUCAUAGAACACCGAUUGCGAAGGCAGCUCACAAAGCCAUUAUUGACACUGAGGCACGAAAGUGUGGGGAUCAAACAGG